UCUUGCAUUAAAUGUGCAAAUACAGAGGUGCUUCCAUUUACUGAUCAUGAAAAGUCCUGUUGCUGCCUGAGGACAUUGAAUCCUGGAUGCCUGAGACCCACUAGCAGUCUAAGGUCACCUUCUGAUCCCAGGCACCUCACCAUCCACAUACAGUCCCAUUGGUUAAGCCAUCUGCUGGAAUAGGGGCUCCUUCGGAAUGCUUUCCAGAGCCCAGCGUUACACAGGACUUGACAUGAGCUCUUUGAAGGCCUGGCCCUUGUCUGCCACAUCCUACAGAGGGCUUGUCCAUAGCCUGUCAAAACCUGAAUGACCCUAUGGAACCCAGCAGUCCUUCUUCACUUUAUGGAUUAUACACCUGAAGCUCAGAGACUGAUGAGACUGGCAACGUGGCCCAGCUAGGAGGUGCUGAGCUGGGUUUCUCUCCGGCUAGAGAAGCGCCUGGCCCUGUACCCGCUCUGAGUGGGCGUUCAGCAAUGAGAGCUGGCACUGGGUUCCUUUAGCCAUCUGCUGCUUGAACUGCAAGACCCUACUUGCCUGCCUGGCUGUCACAGCUCCUCAACCAGUCAGUCACAGGAAUUCUAAUGGUUGGGUUUUGUGGAACAAAAAGACCUGCCUCUUGCAAAUGGAGAGAUGCAUUGGCAAUUACCACGCUGAAUGUCUGGGGGAACAGUGUUUGUCUUUUAGGCCUGUUAACAAGAUUAACUUUUGAACCCUACGCAGUAAUGCUUGUUGUGGAUUGGGGAUAGGGGGUGGCUUGGGAAGCACGUACAUUGGUGUCUAACGUCACAAGAGAACCUGGGGUUUGGAAGGACUUAAGACCUCCAGAAAAAUCUCUCUAGCUGUCUGAUCUAUUUUCCAGACACUGAUUUCUCCACUGCC